UUGAAGAUUUCUUUUCGGGGAAAUUGGAGCCAUCAUUGAGAGACCACUCUGGAAGGGCUAGAAUCCUAAUGGCGUUCCUUGAAUCAGGACGUUUGACAGUUUCAGAUGGGCAGUUUUCCUGGGGCGGGAUUCUCCUAAAAGGUAACGGAGAAGCGCAAUGGUCCCCUCAACCUGGACGGAAAUCAGGCUUUGAGUGCAAAGGCAUAAGGGGGCUUGACUGCAAGACCUACAAGUCGAGCAGGGGCGAAAGCCGGCCUUAGUGAUCC
rnacentral:rRNA from 1 species